rnacentral:tRNA from 1 species
AUUAGCUUAGUCUAGUGGCUAGGAUUCCUGGUUUCCAGCCAGGCUGCCCAGGUUCAAUUCCUGAGCAGAGA